CCCCCAUGUGGCCAGUUUGUAACUAGCUCCCCCUGGCAAGGUGUCCUCCUGACAAACACACAUAGUCUACUGAGAAUCAUACAUCAUACCAGGCAUCGUAGAGUGAAGUUCCCAGAUCUGGCUCAAUCUGAUGAAUCCACAAAUAUCUGGGAUGGCCCCAUCAGCGACACAGUACGAAGUUCUCUGUCUCCUGAAUGUAAACAGACACACCUAAUUCUGUACUAAGGUGCCUGAAAGCAACUCCUUGGUUUCACAGAAAGAACUAUGCGGAAGACAACAAGACUGAAGCUGUAGAAGCAGGAGCUGCCGCUACUGUGCUGAGUGGGAAGUUUAACAUGUAGACUGCUUGUGAAUUUCAUGGAAAACAAUAUGAUUCUCUUAGGUCAGGCCAUCUUGUGCAGGGCAAAAUACACAGUGUAGCUCAAACAAUGGAAAGAAAACUCUCCUGGCAAAGCAAAGGGAGCCAAGUUAAUUUUUCCCUGUUACCUUGAUGACAGUGAGCAUAAAGUGAUUUUCCUAAGUGAUGCCCAAACCAUCUUGUUAUUGGCAGCAGGCUUUGGGUAAAAUUUUCAAAAGUGCUUAAAUGACUUAGGAACCUCCAUUUUCAAAAUGGUCUUAGACACUUAGGCCCAGAUCCUCAAAGGUAGUUAAGCACCUAACUCCUAAUGGGAGCUUAAAUUAUCUUUGAGGAUCUGGGCCUUCGGAGCCUAUGUCCCACUGUCAUUCAAUGAGACUUAUGUCUUGUCUACACACAAAAGUUGUACCACUUUAACUAUAUCAGUACAGUUAAUUUUAUCAAUAUCAAUAUAAUUAAAGCAAUACAACCUCCCCAUGUGUGGAUUCAAUUAUAGCAGUAUAAAUGGGUUUAUUAUGAUAUAGAUUAUUCCAGUACAGGACGGGAAAGAACCUAUACCAGUAUAAAGCACCUUUAUGUCAGUAUAACCGUGUCUAUACUAGGGAUCGUACCCAUAUAACUAUCUUGGUAAAAAGUCACACCCUCAACCAACAUUCAAAAGUGCGUGUGGACCAAGGCUGUUGGCUCCAAAGUGCCUAAGUCACUUCUGAAAACGUGACCCUGUGUCUGUAUUCAAAGCUGCCCCGGUGCAAUGGAAGGUGUGAUUGUUCAACCAAUUUAGUGAAACUGAUGCAAAUCCAU